UGAGGUAGUAGGUUGUAUAGUUUUAGGGUUCUGCCCUGCCUGUCACAUAACUAUACAAUCUACUGUCUUUC
rnacentral:pre_miRNA from 1 species